rnacentral:rRNA from 1 species
GAUGAACGCUGGCGGCGUGCCUAAUACAUGCAAGUCGAGCGAACAGACGAGGAGCUUGCUCCUCUGACGUUAGCGGCGGACGGGUGAGUAACACGUGGAUAACCUACCUAUAAGACUGGGAUAACUUCGGGAAACCGGAGCUAAUACCGGAUAAUAUAUUGAACCGCAUGGUUCAAUAGUGAAAGACGGUUUUGCUGUCACUUAUAGAUGGAUCCGCGCCGCAUUAGCUAGUUGGUAAGGUAACGGCUUAACAAGGCAACGAUGCGUAGCCGACCUGAGAGGAUGAUAGGCCACACUGGACCUGAGACACGGUCCAGACUCCUACGAGAGGCAGCAGUAGGGAAUCUUCCGCAAUGGGCGAAAGCUUGACGGAGCAACGCCGCGUGAGUGAUGAAGGUCUUCGGAUCGUAAAACUCUGUUAUUAGGGAAGAACAAAUGUGUAAGUAACUAUGCACGUCUUGACGGUACCUAAUCAGAAAGCCACGGCUAACUACGUG